rnacentral:rRNA from 1 species
GACGAACGCUGGCGGCGUGCUUAACACAUGCAAGUCGAACGGAAAGGCCCUGCUUUUGUUGGUUUCUCGAGUGGCGCACGCGUGAGUAACACGUGAGUAACCUGCCCUUGACUUUGGGAUAACUUCAGGAAAAUGGGGCUCAUACCGGAUAGGAUCUCCUGCUGCAUGGUGGGGGUUGGAAAGUUUCGGCGGUUGGGGAUGUUCUCGCGGGUUAUCCGCUUGUUGGUGGGGUAGUGGCUUACCCAGGCUUUGACGGGUAGCCGGCCUGAGAGGGGUACCGGCGACAUGGGGACUGAGAUACGCACCAGACGGCUACGGGAGGCAGCAGUGGGGAAUAUGGCGCAAUGGGCGGAAGCCAGAGGCAGCAACGCCGCGUGCGGGAUGACGGCCUUCGGGUGGUAAACCACUUUCGCAGGUGACGAAGCGGGAGUGACGGUAAUGGGUAAAGAAGCACCGGCUAACUACGUG